CCACCAUUAAAGUCCAACCGCGCCAAGUAGAGGAGAAUGUUUACCUGGGUUAUCCAGAUCGAACCCCAAACCCUGUUAUUCCCAAAAGACAGGCAGCACCGCCGCCACGACCAGCCAAGAUCACCCCGAUAGGGAAAAGCAUGAAGCCAGAGCCGCCUCACGACCCAGAGGAGUUUUACAUCGACCCCAGUGACAGCAAACCGCCUGAGGUAAUACGUAAAGAUAAACCUGGUAAAAAAGCCCCUCCUAAGAGACCCCCGAUGAGACCUCCACCGGCCCCUCAGCAAGACGAAGGUCAUUUCAAG
ensembl:lncRNA